ACUUGAGUGGUGGCUUCUGGAUAGAAUGGGAAGGGAAAGCUUUAGCUGCCAGCACCAGGCCACUCUGGCUCUGCCCUAAUUAGGGGGGGCCCUAAAUAGAUGAAUGGACAGGCAGUUUCAGAGGAAGGGGCAAGUGUGCUUGUUCACUGUUCUGAUGGCUGGGACAGGACCGCUCAGGUGUGCUCGGUGGCAAGCCUGCUGCUGGACCCUCACUACCGGACUCUGAAGGGCUUCAUGGUAUUAAUUGAAAAGGACUGGAUUUCCUUUGGUCAUAAGUUUAAUCACCGAUAUGGCAAUCUAGAUGGUGACCCAAAAGAAAUCUCUCCAGUUAUUGACCAGUUCAUUGAGUGUGUCUGGCAGUUAAUGGAGCAAUUUCCCUGUGCCUUUGAGUUCAAUGAGAGGUUUUUGAUUCACAUUCAACAUCACAUUUAUUCUUGCCAGUUUGGAAACUUCCUAUGUAACAGCCAAAAGGAGAGACAUGAACUCAAGAUUCAAGAAAGAACAUACUCAUUAUGGGCUCACCUGUGGAAGAAUCGGGCCGACUACCUGAAUCCUCUGUUUAGAGCUGA
rnacentral:sRNA from 1 species